rnacentral:rRNA from 1 species
UACGGACGGGAUAAGCGCUGAAAGCAUCUAAGCGUGAAGCCCCCCUCAAGAUGAGAUUUCCCAAUUAGUAAGACCCCUUGAAGACGACGAGGUUGAUAGGUUCGGGGUGGAAGCACAGCAAUGUGUGGAGCUGACGAAUACUAAUCGGUCGAGGGCUUAUCCUAC